GACGAACGCUGGCGGCGUGCCUAAUACAUGCAAGUAGAACGCUGAAGGAGGAGCUUGCUUCUCUGGUUGAGUUGCGAACGGGUGAGUAACGCGUAGGUAACCUGCCUGGUAGCGGGGGAUAACUAUUGGAAACGAUAGCUAAUACCGCAUAACAGUAGAUAUCGCAUGAUAUCUACUUGAAAGGUGCAAUUGCAUCACUACCAGAUGGACCUGCGUUGUAUUAGCUAGUUGGUGAGGUAACGGCUCACCAAGGCGACGAUAUAUAGCCGACCUGAGAGGGUGGUCGGCCACACUGGGACUGAGACACGGCCCAGACUCCUACGGGAGGCAGCAGUAGGGAAUCUUCGGCAAUGGACGGAAGUCUGACCGAGCAACGCCGCGGGAGUGAAGAAGGUUUUCGGAUCGUAAAGCUCUGUUGUAAGAGAAGAACGAGUGUGAGAGUGGAAAGUUCACACUGUGACGGUAUCUUACCAGAAAGGGACGGCUAACUACGUG
rnacentral:rRNA from 1 species